AUAUGAACUUUGAUCCAAUGUGUA
rnacentral:siRNA from 1 species